UAUUAAAUGAAGCAUCGGGAGUAUUCCUCCUCACCGACUAAAACGUUCUUGUAAGCAGAUUUCUCCAAAAUGUAGUCGAAGGGAGUGAAAUCGAAAUCUGGAACUGGUGGUGAUCUCGGUGGGGCCUCAACGACGACGGUCCGAUCCAUAAACAAUAUGCCGUAUUCAUGCUUUGUUGCUCUGACUGAGUCAGUUGCCUUACGGACCAAGAAAGAGGUGAUCGUCUUCCACUCAUUUUCAACGAAUCGGUCUUCGUAAAAUGGAGCAAGGCGACGAUCAACGGUGGCCUCAAUACGGGAAUUGGAUCCCUACAGAACAUGAUAGUAGACAGUUUUAUAUACAAGUUAAGCGAAUGAACGAAAAAAACACAUAAUGAUUUGACGGAAAUUACCGCGUAAUCUGCCAGGAUAAGGCCGAGUUCGAAGACGUUAGGCGAUAUAACGUUCUUGAAGACUCUCACGACAAAGACAUAAAUUCGCCACCCAGUGAUCUGAGGACACAUAUCUGAGACCAUAUGAAACCCCUCCAUCUCACGGAUAGCAAGAACAAGCGAAUCGAAAGACUAAUUUUUUUUUUGUGAAUGAUAUAACUGCUGGCACAAGAAAUGGGUUUAGAAUGAGGAUUGUGGAUACAAUUAAGGAAGGGAGGAGACUUAAAUAGAGGAAAUCUGGAACGGCUACAGUUAUUAAUGCGGUUCCAACUACACUUGAUUCAAAUAUUUUGUAAUAGCCUGGUAACCGUCAUAUAGGGUAAUUAUAACGUUGAUUUGACAAUAAACAGCAACAGUUACGUCCUUUCCAUUAAAUACCAACAUAACCACAAUAUACCCAACCAUGUCUCCAACUCCGUUCAUUUAAGAGGGGGAAUAAGUUAGAUUUUCAAAAAACUUAUUUCAAAUUACUCAAAAUGUUGAGGAACCACCUCUAUGUACCCUUAUUACAUGAACUUUAACACGUACACAGACAAAAACGUACAUAGUUAUACGAACGUAGAGUUUAAACGUACUUACACAACGUACAUAGUUACAGAUGGAUUAUAUAUAAACUUACGUACAACGAGAAAACACCGAAGCGUACACUAUAUUGGCCGGCUUAGAAACUUGUCACCAGAACUAGAUUGGAUUUCUGCACGUCUUCUUGUUAUGACCUGCUUGUCGACAGCGUGAGCACUGAUUCGGUAAAAGUCUUUUCUGUCUCUUUUUCUGAAGUGACAAAGACAGGAAGUUAAAAAUCUCCGCAUGGUAAUACUCAAAAUACAAGUAGAUGAAUGAACGAUGUUAGUACAUACCCGGUUUUCACCUCUAGAUGGGAUCCUUUUGGACAGUGGUCUUCCUGGUGGUCGUCAACUGUAUGGAGGAAUGAGUAUCAAAUCCACUAUAUGUUGUGGGAUGACAACAUCUUUCGGAUCCGCGAUAGGUAGAAUUGGUUCUCGGAAAGAAUCAGAAAACGUUUGAAGGCCAUACCACCAUCCAACACAAGCCUUCGGAUCAAUUCCAUGCUCGAUUGCAGCUGCUAGAGCGUGUUCACAUGAGAUUCUUAGCUUGGUGUACCUAAGACACGUACACGUACACUGGUCCAGAACGACAUGAAAAUGCUCAGCGGAUUUACUUGUCACUUGAUAGCUCCACGGUCCAGACAUCUUCACAGCGUAUUUACCUGACGCAGGCAACUCUUGUAGAAAUCUCUCAUCAACCUCAGGUGUCACAGAAGAUUUGCUUUUGUUAACACAUGAUUCAUGGACUCAGAGUUGUUGCUAGACAUGAUAUUGUAGCGUUCUCCUCUACAGUGAGCUCUUGUCCAAUGCUCAAAUCCUAUGUCCUCUAGGUAUUUUGCGCAUUUAGCACUCUUUUCCCUUAACAGUUCAAAAUAUUUCUCGAAAUCCCUGACCCUAUAAGCUUUGGCAGCGCUGAAAAAUAAAGCAGACACACCAAACUUACCAUAAUAGGUGGAGAGGUUUCGCUCAAGGUGAACAGCACAUGCUCCAUGAUGCGCUCUCGGGUAAACAACACUUAGGCCUUUGUAUAUAGAUGAAUGUCUGUCCAAGACAAUCAUUAAAUCGUCACUGUCUGGAACAAUCUCAGCUAACUUUUCAAAAAACCAUGCCCAAGAAGCAUCGGUCUCACCAUCAACAACACCAAAACCUAUUGGGAAUAUUUGGAAGUUCCCAUCUUGGGUACAUGCAAUAAGGAGACAUCCUUUGUAAGGUCCGACUAGCUGCGUUCCAUCUACCACAACUACCUUCCUCAUAUAUAUAAGACCUUUGAUAGAAGCGCCAAGAGAGACAAAGACAUACUUUGAAGCGCUGCUUACCAUUAUCUUCUGGUGUAUAGUGUAGGUGUGUUAUUGUACCCGGAUUAGCUAAUUGGAGAAGAUAUAGAUAGGUCGGCAAAAACCUGUAAUUUGCUAUCUCAUCCCCCCUUACAUUUUCCACUGCAACCUCUUUUGCUCUCCAAGCGGUAGAAUAUGAAAUCCGCACAUUCAGAUCAUUUAGGAGCAGCUGUGGUAAAUCGACAGCUCGCGGCCCACCCUGCGUAGAAUUGUAUCUGCUCCUCACAACUUCUCCGAGGAGCUUAUAAUUAGCAUGUUUAUUGUAGUUCUUCCGAGAGUCGAUGUUACACGUAUGUGUCGUAGCAUACAACGUGAUUUUGAAACUUUCUGAAUCUUUCACGACGCGAGCAGUCAAAUGCCAUGGACAAGUCUCAUCAACGCACACCAUCUUCAAUAUUUUAGGACAUGACUUAGGUUGCUUGAAGCAAAAGCAUUGCUUUAUCGCUUGAAGAGACAUUGUUUGUUGCAAGACUUUUCUAUUCUUAAAAACACUUCCAACAAACAAAGUUUUGCCUGUGAUGCUGAUUUCAACCUGUGUCUCAUCAGCUCAAAAAUUGAGUAAGUCAUCGAACACAGGAGCAGCAUCGUUACCGAGAAUCGCCAACUCGCCACCAUGUAACUUAGGAAAUUCAUUAUACACUUGGUAAGCCUCAGCUGCGGUAACUACCCCAUUAUCAUUCAGUGUCCCAGUUGAGGAAGCUCCAAUACCGUCGAUCACUUCAUCCCCGGUGACUUCGUCUAUACAAAUAAGAUUGGAAUCCCUAUGCCCUUCGCAGCGUGUACCGUAACCCAAUGGAGAAAUUGUUUCUCCGCCAGGUACACUAAGACCAGUGUACGUACACGUUUCCAAUAGACGACUGAAUUCCCCUGUAUCUCCGCCAGGUACACUAACACCCGUGUACGUACACGUUUCAAAUAAACGACUGAAUUCCCCUGGAUGUUGAGCAGUCUGUUGAGUGAGACUGACGUCUUCCUCAAGAUUUUGUUGUACAUAUUCUUCUACUAUUACAUCGUUCCACUUGUUGUAAUCGUAUUCUUCGCCAAUACCUUCACUAUCGUCUGUGGUAGGAUACAGAGUACUUCCCCCAAUAGAUCCAUCCACACCAAGAUAAUCAUCACACCCAUCAUCAUCUUCGUUGCCUUCCUCCACUUCAUCCUCUUCUGUUGUAUCGUCUUCAACAUCGGCUUGUUUCUCUACAUCCUCAUUAUUUUCAUCAACAUUUGUAGCACUAUCAAACACACGGUCACUUUCAAAAACUUCACCAUGAGACCUAGAGACAGUAUUCCCGAACGCCUUCACGGUAGUAUUGAAAGAGACGAACAAGUUGAGAGAAAGAUACCCACCACGAACCAAAAAAAACGUAUCAAGACCCAUCUGACUGUCAAUGUAUACAGGAGGGCGUUUAGUAUCUAUCAGCACUGACAUUUCUCCCGGCAUCCAGUAGCUAAUUAUGGGAUUGAUCUCGGUGGACUUCAAACUGAAAGCGUCUCGGAGUGUACGGACAAAGUCCGUGUACGUCAUGGUUUCCUGAACGCGUACACAACGACCAAACAUGCCUUCCUCAGGUUCAAAUUUCCAUUCUCCUUCUUUGCAUUUCCACUCACCGACCAUAACCCACCUGCAUCAUAAAUUCAGGAGACACACAUUAAAUGCAACUGAAAAAUACUAUACAUAUAAAAAACAAAUGGAAUGUCGAUACUACACAUUUAUAAACCUAAAUACCAAUUAUCAUUUGACUAUUUUAAACAAACAAAUAUAGAUUUUUCAAAUUUUCUGAUAAAAACAUGGAGUUCGAACACAAUCAAGAUCCUAAUAUGACAUAACAAAAAACUUCUUAAAAGAACUUCGUUACUUACACGAGCAAUGCUUGUUUUGGCUCCAAACUUGGUACAAAAACAAGAUCAACACUUCUUCAGCAACAAUAUACGUUCUCAAUAAUUCUUUAUUCCUGGGUUCAUCUUCUUUAUCUCAACAAUUAUUAUCAAUAAUUUUUUUAAUAUUAUUUGAUGUAAUGAUGAUUUUGCAUUAAUUGUGACAAUAGUCACAUCUAAACUUUUUGGAGCAUUAAAUGUUGAUGUCACUUCGGAAUAAUGGAAAUAAUCUCACUUGUAACGGAACCGAAUCGUGUCAACGUGAAACAAAAAAUCUUCAACUGAACCAGAACAGUGUACGUAACUAAACCUGUUAAACUAAACCGUACAUUUCAACAGUUACUAAGAGAGAAGCGCAAGGGCAGAAGCGUCAUUUUGCAGGCGAAAAGACAAAUGGUGAAAACCACAUUUGACUUUGACAAUCCAUGGAAAUAAAACAUGGUAAACGGGAGGGAAAGGUCUUUAAACAAACCUUACAAGGUCUUAAAUAUCUCUAGAAAGACACAUAUCUCACCUUUAUUCUUUUAUUUCUUUUUUAUUCUUAUUUUUAUUAAUUUUAUAGUUAAAUACCAUUUAUUUUUAGGAAUAAGUUAGAAAAUAGUACGUUUCCCAAACUUAAUUGGAAAACUAGUACAUGUACUAUUUAUAAUUAGUAGAAUAGUCAUAGUACGUUUUGUUUUUGUUUGGUGAAAGAGAGAGGUAUAAGGGAGAGAGAUAGCGUGUGAGAGAGAGUGGGUCAAGUGUGUCAGGAUUUUAUGUAUAGAUAUAUGUAUAGAUAUUAUUUGUACAGUGUUCAGUAAUAUAAAAACAAAAAAUUAUUAAACAAA
rnacentral:sRNA from 1 species